rnacentral:rRNA from 1 species
CCUACGGGAGGCAGCAGUGAGGAAUAUUGGUCAAUGGACGAGAGUCUGAACCAUCCAAGUAGCGUGAAGGAUGACUGCCCUAUGGGUUGUAAACUUCUUUUAUAAAUGAAUAAAACGAGGCACUUGUGCCUUUUUGCAUGUACUUUAUGAAUAAGGAUCGGCUAACUCCGUGCCAGCAGCCGCGGUACUAAGGAGGAUACGAACGUUAUCCGGAUUUAUUGGGUUUAAAGGGUGCGCAGGCGGAGGCAAAAGUCAGCGGUAAAAUCGCGUGGCGCAAGCCCGCUCCGCCGUUGAAACGGUGUCCCUUGAGUGCGCGAAGGGUAGGCGGAAGGCGUGGUGUAGCGGUGAAAUGCAUAGCUAUCACGAAGAACCCCGAUUGCGAAGGCAGCUUACUAAACUGUGACUGACAUUGAUGCUCGAAAGUGUGGGGAUCAAACAGGAUUAGAUACCCCUGUAGGC